rnacentral:lncRNA from 10 species
CUCAGCACAGGGACUGUGGCAACCCAGGCGCCUGCCCUACUUGGUUCCUGAAUGGACAGGCGUGAGCCACCGUGCCCAGCCAAAAAUAAUCUUAUAUUUCCCCCAGGAUUAGGCAGAGGUAAUUUCCUGGCUGUGCAGAUUGGGGAAAGAGAUCUGGGGGUCUAACUGCUGCCUUUAGCUAUUUUCAGCUGAUUUUCUGUGUCCAAUCUUACUCUAUGUCUGUGCAUUCAGAGGUAAUUGGUGCCUUCAAUUUUUGAGCUUUUUCAGGACUCUGUUGAAACUAUGCCCCAAAGAGAAAGAAACCAAUGACUAACAGAAAUUCUUAAGUUUGCAGGAUGGCAGAUAAGAAAAGAAACCUCUUGCUGAAAUGCUGAAACUUCCUCUGCUUAUGAGAUUAAAAAAACUGGCUGAAAUCAGUUGGAAUCCAUAUGGCCAGCUGGAGUCUAUGCAGAAUGAGCCCGCUGACCUCACAGCCUUUCCACUGCACCUUUCACACUAGCGCCCCCCAAAUUUGCACCUAUGACCCAUGAAGAGGCAUGAAGAUACCACUGUGGAGGCCCGAGGACUUUCCAGACCUUUCCUUCCCUUCCACUAAUCACCUAUUCAUCUCAGAAUCCACCCGCUAAACAUUUUUUUUUUUUUUUU